UACGUAGGGGGCGAGCGUUGUCCGGAUUUAUUGGGCGUAAAGGGCACGUAGGCGGUCGUAUAAGUCAGUUGUGAAAUCCCCGGGCUUAACCUGGGAACUGCAGCUGAUACUGUAUGACGCGAGUCGAAGAGAGGGAAGCGGAAUUUCCGGUGUAGCGGUGAAAUGCGUAGAUAUCGGAAGGAACAUCUGUGGCGAAGGCGGCUUCCUGGCUUCAGAUUGACGCUGAGGUGCGAAAGCGUGGGUAGCGAACAGG
rnacentral:rRNA from 1 species